AUGGGAGCUUUCCCUUCACCGCCCCCAUGGGGGUGGUCCACAGGGUUCAUAACUACCCCUCUUACUAUGGGGCGUUUACCUAGCCAACACUUAGAUCCGGCUCUACCCAAACUUUUUUGGUUCACCCCAACAUUACCCACUUGUCUGACUGUUGCUAAGAAGUUUUGGGAUACUAAACGGACCUCCCCAGAUGGUAAUCUUAAAGUGUCUGAUUUACCCUCUUUUGCAAUGAGUUUCGCUACAACACCUGCUGCUCUAGCUUAUUGCCCACCGCUUCCACGUGUGAUUUCUAUGUUAUGCAUGGUCGUGCCUAAGGGCAUAUCGCUCCAACACAAGUCCAUUUCCUCCGUUUUGCGGUACGCCACACCCCUCCCGAUCAACAGGACCCCAUUUCGACCGUAG
rnacentral:rRNA from 1 species